UUUUAUUGAAAACAAAAACCAAUGCUUAUGGUGUAUCUGAACAAAAAGAUAAAAAUAGACAUGGGCCUUCUAAACAGUUUGGACCAAAAUUACAAUAAAUAAAAAUUAUUAAUAAAAAUAGAACAUAUUUGGUAUGGGCCUUCAAAUUAAUCUUGGGCUUCAACAACGAUUAAUAUGUUUAGUGGUGCCUCUACUUCUGGGCCUUCAUCCUUCUCCACUUGGACCUUAUUAAGUAUGUCUGCUACCAUUUGGUGGAGGGUAUCCACUGACUGCUUGGUCUUACUCCUCGUCAUAGGUCCCUGUAUUUGAACAGUUUCAGGAUUCUUAUCAGUUAAGUAUGAAUCCACUUAUCAUUGUAUAUAUUAAGGUUUUAUUAUUUUUGGGCCUUGCAUUUAGGACUCCAAAAUGUAGGUAAAUUACCCUAAAAAUGUAAGAUUUUUCAGCCCUUGUAUUUUAGGGCACCUAGACUAGUUUUUGUAUUAGGGGUAGUUUUAUAAUUUCAAAUGCAUUAAGUGAAUAUAUGAUGUGUGUGUUAGGGAAUAAAUUUAAUUGAAUUGGGAGAAGCCCAAUCCAAUUAAAUUUUAGAGGGGAGGUGAGCAUUUGCUUGCUACACCUUAUUGUCACAUCAUAUAGUCACAUUUUGUGUAUGUCCUCCAUGCUUUACAUGCCUCAUGACACCUAAGUAUACUUAGGGGAGAAUUUUGGACUUGAUAUUGGAUUAGUGAACUGAACCAUAGCUAAAAUUUACUAAUCAUAAUUAGUGAAAUUUUGGCUCCAAAAUUUGGCUCCACAAAUUCAAUUUCAAAUUUGGCUCCACAAAUUCAAUUGGAGGGAAAUUCAAAUUUCUCUCCAAUUUUGUGUGACACUUAGACUAUAAACAGAGGACAUGUUUGUGUAUUUUUUGAACUUUGAUCAUUUGAGAAUUACACUUCAAAGUUCAGACCUCAUUUGAGGCACAAAAUUUCAUGUCCCUUCUCUCCCUCUCCCUCCACUCAUCUUCUCCUACCUUCGAGCUCUUAUCCAUGACUUCCUAUGGUGGUGAGCUUCUUCUUGACUCAUCUUUUCCUUGAGAUGACAUCUUCAAUCAUCUUUCUUCCUUCUCCAUUUCCCUGCCAUUCAUCUUCAAGAAGC
rnacentral:lncRNA from 1 species